rnacentral:rRNA from 1 species
UACGAAGGGGGCUAGCGUUGCUCGGAAUCACUGGGCGUAAAGGGUGCGUAGGCGGGUCUUUAAGUCAGGGGUGAAAUCCUGGAGCUCAACUCCAGAACUGCCUUUGAUACUGAGGAUCUUGAGUUCGGGAGAGGUGAGUGGAAUUCCGAGUGUAGAGGUGAAAUUCGUAGAUAUUGGGAAGAACACCGAUGGCGAAGGCAGCCAUCUGGACCGACACUGACGCUGAGGCGCGAAAGCGUGGGGAGCAAACAGG